rnacentral:rRNA from 1 species
CCUACGGGGCGCAGCAGUGGGGAAUAUUGCACAAUGGGCGCAAGCCUGAUGCAGCCAUGCCGCGUGUGUGAAGAAGGCCUUCGGGUUGUAAAGCACUUUCAGCGGGGAGGAAGGCGGUGAGGUUAAUAACCUCAUCGAUUGACGUUACCCGCAGAAGAAGCACCGGCUAACUCCGUGCCAGCAGCCGCGGUAAUACAGAGGGUGCAAGCGUUAAUCGGAAUUACUGGGCGUAAAGCGCACGCAGGCGGUCUGUCAAGUCGGAUGUGAAAUCCCCGGGCUCAACCUGGGAACUGCAUUCGAAACUGGCAGGCUAGAGUCUUGUAGAGGGGGGUAGAAUUCCAGGUGUAGCGGUGAAAUGCGUAGAGAUCUGGAGGAAUACCGGUGGCGAAGGCGGCCCCCUGGACAAAGACUGACGCUCAGGUGCGAAAGCGUGGGGAGCAAACAGGAUUAGAUACCCGUGUAGUC